GACGAACGCUGGCGGCGUGCCUAAUACAUGCAAGUAGAACGCAGUUGCGAACGGGUGAGUAACGCGUAGGUAACUGCCUGGUAGCGGGGGAUAACUAUUGGAAACGAUAGCUAAUACCGCAUACUACCAGAUGGACCUGCGUUGUAUUAGCUAGUUGGUGGGGUAAUGGCUCACCAAGGCAACGAUUCAUAGCCGACCCGGUGGGGUGAUCGGCCACAAUGGGACUGAGACACGGGCCAGACUCCUUCGGGAGGCAGCAGUAGGGGAGUUUCGGCAAUGGGGGGAACCCUGACCGAACAACUCCGCGUGAGUGAAGAAGGUUUUCGGAUCGUAAAGCUCCGUUGUUAAGGAAGCGGUACUUAACCAGAAAGGGACGGCUAACUACGUGCCAGCAGCCGCGGUAAUAC
rnacentral:rRNA from 1 species